UCCCGUGUGGUCUAGUGGCUAGGAUACGCGGCUCUCACCCGCGAAGCCCGGGUUCGAUUCCCGGCACGGGAA
rnacentral:tRNA from 1 species